UACGUAGGGGCAAGCGUUGUCCGGAAUCAUUGGGCGUAAAGAGCGUGUAGGCGGCCCGAUAAGUCCGCUGUGAAAGUCCAGGGCUCAACCCUGGAAUGCCGGUGGAUACUGUCGGGCUCGAAUCCGGAAGAGGUGAGUGGAAUUCCUGGUGUAGCGGUGAAAUGCGCAGAUAUCAGGAGGAAUACCGAUGGCGAAGGCAGGUCUCUGGGCUGACACUGACGCUCAUGCACGAAAGCGUGGGGAGCAAACAGG
rnacentral:rRNA from 1 species